rnacentral:rRNA from 1 species
AUGUUCUUGUGGAUGGUUGGUGGCCCCCAAUCAUUCUCUCAAGUUGAGAAUCGUUUUUCGAGAUCAACGGAAACGGUCCAUCGAAAGUUCAAAGAGGUCUUGAAUUGCUUGUGCAAGUUAGCAGGACAUAACAUAACACCUCGAGAUGAUACUUUCACAACCGUGCAUGCAAGAAUUCAAGAUGAGAGAUUUUGGCCUCAUUUCAAAGGUGCGAUCGGUGCAAUAGAUGGCUGCCACAUCCCAGUUACAGUGCCAUCGGAUGAGGUUGUUAACCACACAGGUCGCCAUGGAUUUCCAUCACAAAAUGUUAUGGCGGUUUGCGACUUUGACAUGAGGUUUACUUUUGUUGUGGCUGGUUGGCCCGGUUCAGCACAUGACACAAGGAUCUUAAAUGAUAGCUUGGUAAAGUAUGCACAUCGCUUCCCUACACCACCACCAGGAAAAUAUUACCUCAUUGAUUCGGGAUAUCCAAACCGUGAAGGAUACCUUGCUCCUUACAAAGGCCAAAUAUACCACAUACCAGAAUUUCGUAAUGGACGAAAACCGGUGGGCAAAUAUGAGGUGUAUAAUCAUAGCCACUCUUCACUUAGAAAUGUUGUUGAGCGAACAUUUGGAGUGCUCAAAGCUAAAUGGCGCAUCUUGAAGGGUGUACCUAGUUUCAAACCUUGUACACAGAAAAAGAUUAUUAUUGCUUGUAUGGCGUUGCACAACUAUAUUCGUGAGACCAAGUUGCCCGACGAGGAGUUUGACAAAUGUGAUGAAGAUGAGGAUUAUAUUCCUGAUGAGGACUUGGAAGUAGUGCCAGUCAAAGGAGCUAGUGUUCCGGCGAGACUUAACAUUGUCGACAUGAACAUAGUCCGUGAUAGAAUUGCUAACUCCUUGAUGAGCUCUACUGCAUGA